rnacentral:rRNA from 1 species
UAGGGAAUCUUCCGCAAUGGACGCAAGUCUGACGGAGCAACGCCGCGUGAGUGAAGAAGGAUUUCGGUUCGUAAAACUCUGUUGUUAGAGAAGAACAGCGCAUAGAGUAACUGUUAUGCGUGUGACGGUAUCUAACCAGAAAGCCACGGCUAACUACGUGCCAGCAGCCGCGGUAAUACGUAAGGUCCGAGCGUUGUCCGGAAUCAUUGGGCGUAAAGGGUACGUAGGCGGGUAAGCAAGUUAGAAGUGAAAUCCUGUAGCUCAACUACAGUAAGCUUUUAAAACUGCUCAUCUUGAGAUAUGGGAGGGAAAGUGGAAUUCCUAGUGUAGCGGUGAAAUGCGCAGAUAUUAGGAGGAAUACCGGUGGCGAAGGCGACUUUCUGGCCAUAAUCUGACGCUGAGGUACGAAAGCGUGGGUAGCAAACAGG